rnacentral:rRNA from 1 species
GCUUGUUGGUAGGGUAACGGCCUACCAAGGCUACGAUCAGUAGGGGUUCUGAGAGGAUUAACCCCCACACUGGUACUGAGACACGGACCAGACUCCUACGGGAGGCAGCAGUGAGGAAUAUCGGUCAAUGGGCGGAAGCCUGAACCAGCCAUCCCGCGUGAAGGAAGACAGCCUUACGGGUUGUAAACUUCUUUUCUGUCAGAAGAAUAAGCUUGUCGAGACGAGUGAUGCCGGUAUGACAGGAAUAAGCAUCGGCUAACUCCGUGCCAGCAGCCGCGGUAAUACGGAGGAUGCAAGCGUUAUCCGGAUUUAUUGGGUUUAAAGGGUGCGCAGGUUGUUUGAUAAGUCAGUGGUGAAAGUCUGUCGCUUAACGGUAGGAUUGCCAUUGAUACUGUUGGACUUGAAUAUGGAUGAGGUAGGCGGAAUGUGUAGUGUAGCGGUGAAAUGCAUAGAUAUUACACAGAACACCGAUUGCGAAGGCAGCUUACUAAUCCAUCAUUGACGCUGAGGCACGAAAGCGUGGGGAUCAAACAGGAUUAGAUACCCUGGUAGUCCACGCCGUAAACGAUGAUCACUCGCUGUUUGCGAUAUACAGUAAGCGGCUAA